rnacentral:lncRNA from 1 species
GAAUGGAGUUAUGAAAAAACCCAUAAGUUUGCGACCAGUUUUAUUGGCUUGCGGUGCGGGGCUGCCAUUGCAAUCGCCAGCACCUUGAGACCCCAACAUCCACUGGCUUUUCGAACUGUGGAACUGGCCAGUUCAGCUUCGCGACUGACUGAGCUGUGUCAGUGACUUUGAUUCUUCUGCGGAACUCCUCGUUUUUAUAGGAUGAUGAUGUUACAGUGAAGACGAUCUGAACACCAAGUACGACUACCUCGGAGGCGCCUCGCGCGGGCGCACGGAGGCGUGGUACCUCACUGAGAUUCAGAACGCUUUGCGGGAGAAGCUUAGGGAAAUCUUUGAAGACAAGCCCGAGGUUUGCCCAAAGCUCCGGGACCGGCAUCUGCUUCAUAGACGGCUGUACCAUGACGACAGACAAGCCGAGAUCCUGAAGUCGCCACGGGACUUGUCAAUUUCCGGACCAAUAGACUACAAACUGUUAGAAGAUUGGAUAAAUUCUAUACCUGUUUACCCCGACUUUAGCGAAGAAGAUAAAAAAAAACUGAAAAACAUAAUCCACGAAUUGAUAAUUAAACUAAAUGCGCUCG